GACGAACGCUGGCGGCGUGCUUAACACAUGCAAGUCGAACGGAAAGGCCCUGCUUUUGUGGGGUGCUCGAGUGGCGAACGGGUGAGUAACACGUGAGUAACCUGCCCUUGACUUUGGGAUAACUUCAGGAAACUGGGGCUAAUACCGGAUAGGAGCUCCUGCUGCAUGGUGGGGGUUGGAAAGUUUCGGCGGUUGGGGAUGGACUCGCGGCUUAUCAGCUUGUUGGUGGGGUAGUGGCUUACCAAGGCCUUGACGGGUAGCCGGCCUGAGAGGGUGACCGGCCACAUUGGGACUGAGAUACGGCCCAGACUCCUACGGGAGGCAGCAGUGGGGAAUAUUGCACAAUGGGCGGAAGCCUGAUGCAGCAACGCCGCGUGCGGGAUGACGGCCUUCGGGUUGUAAACCGCUUUCGCCUGUGACGAAGCGUGAGUGACGGUAAUGGGGAAAGAAGCACCGGCUAACUACGU
rnacentral:rRNA from 1 species